rnacentral:rRNA from 1 species
CCUUGCAGCUUCCCAACCACUAACGCAGUCGAAUGGAACUCGGAAGUUAAGCGUGAUUUGGGUGGAUUAGUCCAAGGAUGGGUGACCGGUUGGGAAGUUUCUAGGUCUCAUGGU